CUUGAGAUCCCGCUGCUUCACUGUGCUGAGUCCUGAGACUCCUCUGGUAUCCUGCAUGGUUUGCUCACCUUAGAAGUGCGGACGUUUGGCUCACACUCUUGGACCACAGUGAUCAUUCGUGAUAAUGAUACACAGGAAAUAGAGAUGGAAACUGAAGGCCCGUCGGAUGCUGUCUAGAGGAACAACUCAAGUCUCAAGAGAGAUGAUGGUGUAGAACGGGGCAUGGAGGUAUGAAGAGAUUUAAUUCUUUCUUUGGAAAGACAGAAAAGCACAAGGAAGAAAAUGGAAACAUAUGUAACACCACCUUCUGGAGAUAACCAGACUUGAGUCAUUGGUCUAUGGAAACUUAUAGUUCCCAGUUCCCCUUAGGAUUAGACGAGGCCACGGAGCUAGUUCUGGACGAAAAUGUGAGUGGAAGUAAAAACACACACCUUUGAGAUUUUCCCAUCUUUGUUUUCUUGCCAUGAAGACCAUGGAGACCUUGUUUUGGGAUGGUGAAGACACAAGAGGAAGCAUCCUCGAUCCCUGAGUCACAACACAGAGGGGCUAUCUGGAGAGGUUACCCGACCUACAGAUAAUCCUGGGUGAAAGAGAAAUAAACUAA